AGAAGGAGCCAGAGAAGGAAAAGGAGAAGGAAAAGAAGAGGAACCAACCCCCUCACUCUCAUCCUCUGUUUCUCUCUCUCCUACCCUCCUUUUAUUUUCUUUCUCUCCCUCAACCCCCUUCUCUCUCUCUUCUAAA
rnacentral:ribozyme from 1 species